rnacentral:misc_RNA from 1 species
GGCGCUCUCCGCAGCCCGCUUCACAUAGAGGUAUGGCGUCCGGUUCGCAAGCGCGCUCAGACACCUGUGCGUUGACGGAACGCGUCGUCGGCCUCCAUAACAGGCAGCGGAGCGGAUUUGACAUUCGCGGCAACCCAGAGCCCGCAGUUCGCAUCGCGAAUGUCAAAUCUAAAGCUCCACUAGAGACUUAGUAAUCCCCCAGUGGUCCCUUGAUUCUAACAUUCGCAAGCCUGCCCGGUGAAACGGGAUGCGAAUGUUAGAAUCGGACCACUGGGA